rnacentral:rRNA from 1 species
CAAUAGCGUAUAUUAAAGUUGUUGCAGUUAAAAAGCUCGUAGUUGGAUUUCUGGCAGGAGGAGCCGGUCACACACUCUGUGCGUGAACUCGUGCUGUCUCUGGCCAUCCUCGGGGAGAUCCUGUUUGGCAUUAAGUUGUCGGGCAGGGGAUACCCGUCGUUUACUGUGAAAAAUUAGAGUGUUUAAAGCAGGCUUAUGCCGUUGAAUAUAUUAGCAUGGAAUAAUAAGAUAGGACUUCGGAACUAUUUUGUUGGUUUGCGUUACGAAGUAAUGAUUAAUAGGGACAGUUGGGGGUAUUUGUAUUCCAUUGUCAGAGGUGAAAUUCUUGGAUUCGCUCAAGACUAACUUAUGCGAAAGCAUUCACCAAGGAUGUCUUCUUUAAUCAAGAACGAAAGUUGGGGGAUCAAAGAUGAUUAGAUACCAU